AGUCUUCGUGGGUGUAGGUUUCUUCGUUAUGCUGACGACAGGCAGUGCCCGAACUCUAGGCUGGGAGUUGUGCCAUGCUGCUGCUUUCGUGGGCUGACCAGAAAAGGGUAGAAGGAUUGACGUUUACGAAGUUUUUGAAUCAGGAGGCAAGGUCGCCUUGUGCCCCCAAAAGGAUAGAAAAAGGCCUGGCAAACUGGAGAAUCGCGUCCUUACGGUGCCUACAUAUUUAUAGUACGAAUUAAACUGCUCAAGGGGUGCUAGGUUUGUCUGCAGUCCGUUUCUCCCUCAUGGUGGAAGACGCGUGGGGAAACUUGGUAUCCUGUGUUUUCCAGUUGAAAGCUUGUGAAAAUUCGCUUUAUCCUUGAAGUUCAGAAUUUUCACCAGGAUGUAUGAAGUAAUAUUCCAUUGUAUGGAUAUGCCAGAGUGUAUUUAUCUACUGACCAGUUGAAGAACAUUUGGAUUGUUUCCCAUUUUUUGUAUGAGUAAUGUCACUAUAAACAUUUGCAUACAG
rnacentral:lncRNA from 1 species